rnacentral:rRNA from 1 species
AUACGGGAGGCAGCAGUGGGGAAUUUUGCGCAAUGGGCGAAAGCCUGACGCAGCAACGCCGCGUGAGCGAAGAAGGCCUUCGGGUUGUAAAGCUCUGUCAGGGGGAAAGAAGGCACCUGGGUUAAUAGCCCAAGGGCUGACGGUACCCCCAAAGGAAGCCACGGCUAACUACGUGCCAGCAGCCGCGGUAAUACGUAGGUGGCGAGCGUUGUCCGGAAUCAUUGGGCGUAAAGAGCGCGUAGGUGGCUUGUCAGGUCUGAUGUGAAAUCCUGGGGCUCAACUCCAGAACUGCAUCGGAAACCGGCUUGCUAGAGUCUGGGAGAGGAGAGUGGAAUUCCUGGUGUAGCGGUGAAAUGCGUAGAUAUCAGGAGGAACACCGGUAGCGAAGGCGGCUCUCUGGAACAGUACUGACGCUGAGGCGCGAAAGCUAGGGGAGCGAACAGGAUUAGAUACCCGGGUAGUCU